CAUGCUAGAGCACUUUUUCAAUGUGCUCCCCAACGACAAAGAGAUGACGCAUUCGUAUGUCAAUCCAUAUCAACUUUCGAUGCCAUUUACUGCACCUACCAUGAUGACCACCGGUAACGGGGAAUCAGGGUUCGAUUCCAUACAGGGAUCCUGACAAACAGCUACCACAUGCAAGGAAGGCAG
rnacentral:rRNA from 1 species